rnacentral:rRNA from 1 species
AAGUCGAACGGUAACAGGACUUCGGUCGCUGACGAGUGGCGCACGGGUGAGUAACGCGUGGAUAUCUGCCUAUCAGUGGGGGACAACUACGGGAAACCGUAGCUAAUACCGCAUACGCUGUACGCAGGAAAGCAGGGGACCUUCGGGCCUUGUGCUGAUAGAUGAGUCCGCGUCUGAUUAGCUGGUUGGUGGGGUAAAGGCCUACCAAGGCGAUGAUCAGUAACUGGUUUGAGAGGAUGAUCAGUCACACUGGAACUGAGACACGGUCCAGACUCCUACGGGAGGCAGCAGUGGGGAAUAUUGCACAAUGGGCGCAAGCCUGAUGCAGCGACGCCGCGUGCGGGAAGAAGGCCUUCGGGUUGUAAACCGCUUUCAAUUGGGAAGAAGGGAUGAGAGUUAAUACCUCUCUGACUUGACGGUACCUUUAGAAGAAGCACCGGCUAAUUUCGUGCCAGCAGCCGCGGUAAUACGAAAGGUGCAAGCGUUGUUCGGAUUUACUGGGCGUAAAGAGAUCGUAGGUGGCUUGUUAAGUCGGGUGUGAAAUCCCAGGGCUCAACCCUGGAACUGCACUCGAUACUGGCUGGCUAGAGUUCGGGAGGGGGAAGCGGAAUUCCGUGUGUAGCAGUGAAAUGCGUAGAUAUACGGAGGAACACCUGAGGCGAAGGCGGCUUCCUGGACCGAUACUGACACUGAGGAUCGAAAGCGUGGGUAGCAAACAGGAUUAGAUACCCUGGUAGUCCACGCCCUAAACGAUGUCUACUAGCCGUUGCGGGUAUCGACCCCUGCAGUGGCGCAGCUAACGCGAUAAGUAGACCGCCUGGGGAGUACGGUCGCAAGAUU